rnacentral:rRNA from 1 species
CACGUAGGGUGCGAGCGUUGUCCGGAAUUAUUGGGCGUAAAGAGCUCGUAGGCGGCUGUCCACGUCGGGUGUGAAAGCUCAGAGCUCAACUCUGAGAUGCCAUUCGAUACGGGACGGCUAGAGGCAGGUAGGGGAGAUUGGAAUUCCUGGUGUAGCGGUGAAAUGCGCAGAUAUCAGGAGGAACACCGGUGGCGAAGGCGGAUCUCUGGGCCUUGCCUGACGCUGAGGAGCGAAGGCCAGGAGAGCAAACGGG